CCCCUGGCGGCCUGCCUAAUACAUGCAGUCGAGCGGACAGAAGGGAGCUUGCUCCCGGAUGUUAGCGGCGGACGGGUGAGUAACACGUGGGUAACCUGCCUGUAAGACUGGGAUAACUCCGGGAAACCGGAGCUAAUACCGGAUAGUUCCUUGAACCGCAUGGUUCAAGGAUGAAAGACGGUUUCGGCUGUCACUUACAGAUGGACCCGCGGCGCAUUAGCUAGUUGGUGGGGUAAUGGCUCACCAAGGCGACGAUGCGUAGCCGACCUGAGAGGGUGAUCGGCCACACUGGGACUGAGACACGGCCCAGACUCCUACGGGAGGCAGCAGUAGGGAAUCUUCCGCAAUGGACGAAAGUCUGACGGAGCAACGCCGCGUGAGUGAUGAAGGUUUUCGGAUCGUAAAGCUCUGUUGUUAGGGAAGAACAAGUGCGAGAGUAACUGCUCGCACCUUGACGGUACCUAACCAGAAAGCCACGGCUAACUACGUGCCAGCAGCCGCGGUAAUACGUAGGUGGCAAGCGUUGUCCGGAAUUAUUGGGCGUAAAGGGCUCGCAGGCGGUUUCUUAAGUCUGAUGUGAAAGCCCCCGGCUCAACCGGGGAGGGUCAUUGGAAACUGGGAAACUUGAGUGCAGAAGAGGAGAGUGGAAUUCCACGUGUAGCGGUGAAAUGCGUAGAGAUGUGGAGGAACACCAGUGGCGAAGGCGACUCUCUGGUCUGUAACUGACGCUGAGGAGCGAAAGCGUGGGGAGCGAACAGGAUUAGAUACCCUGGUAGUCCACGCCGUAAACGAUGAGUGCUAAGUGUUAGGGGGUUUCCGCCCCUUAGUGCUGCAGCUAACGCAUUAAGCACUCCGCCUGGGGGAGUACGGUCGCAAGACUGAAACUCAAAGGAAUUGACGGGGGCCCGCACAAGCGGUGGAGCAUGUGGUUUAAUUCGAAGCAACGCGAAGAACCUUACCAGGUCUUGACAUCCUCUGACAACCCUAGAGAUAGGGCUUUCCCUUCGGGGACAGAGUGACAGGUGGUGCAUGGUUGUCGUCAGCUCGUU
rnacentral:rRNA from 1 species